rnacentral:rRNA from 1 species
UACGGAGGAUGCGAGCGUUAUCCGGAUUUAUUGGGUUUAAAGGGUGCGUAGGCGGACGCUUAAGUCAGCGGUAAAAUUGCGGGGCUCAACCUCGUCGAGCCGUUGAAACUGGGUGCCUUGAGUGGGCGAGAAGUACGCGGAAUGCGUGGUGUAGCGGUGAAAUGCAUAGAUAUCACGCAGAACUACGAUUGCGAAGGCAGCGUACCGGCGCCCAACUGACGCUGAAGCACGAAGGCGUGGGUAUCGAACAGG